GAGGGGAAUCCACGAAGCCCUCAUUUGCCAGAUUUGGUGAAGGGGCUUUGUGGAGUUGAGUCAUUUUCCCUAUCACCCAGUACUGGAAUUGGGAUCCUCUCCACCUGAUUUGGAGUUCGUUUGCUCAUACUCGACGUAGGAGCAUCGGAUUUCGACGAAACUU